rnacentral:rRNA from 1 species
CCCUUAGAUGUUCUGGGCCGCACGCGUGCUACACUGAGUGGAUCAGCGGGUCAGGUUGCGCGAAAGCGUUUCCUAAUCUUGAAAUCCGCUCGUGAUGGGGAUUGACGGUUGCAAUUUUCUGUCAUGAACGAGGAAUACCUUGUAAGCGCGGGUCAUCAUCCCGCGCUGAAUACGUCCCUGCCCUUUGUACACACCGCCCGUCGCUCCUACCGAUUGAGUGGUCCGGUGAGGCUUUGGGAUCUGAGCGGAAAGAGCGUUUCGCUCGUUCUGCCCGGAAAACUCAGUCGAACCUUAUCAUUUAGAGGAAGGAGGAGUCGUAACA